AUACUUUCUGCUCGAUUAGUUGCACUCACUUUCGUGCAUCAUGCUGCAGUCUGCAUAGCGAUAUAAACAAUGGAGAUAGACACAUGGACGGCGACGAUGGUGAAAAAGACAAUUCAGGACACAAUUUCAAAAUCAAAAAUUCUCCACAAUUAAUUCUGGAAAAGGAUUUCUAAAUCUAUAAAAGAAAUACAUACAAAAUUUUGUUAAUGACGUGCCCAAAUGACUCUACAUUAUCGAUCUCGAUUAAGUUUGACGAGCAGUUUAGCAUCCCCGAGAUAUCGGUAUCGUUAUACAGUUAAUUAAUAUAUAUUUGUUGCGCAGAUAUUUUAUAUGUUAAAAAGCUGCACAACGACAGUAUAACGACACCGACACCUCUUAACGAGUUUCAGAAUUGCGGCCCUGACCAUGCAGCACCAGUUACGGAAGCAAA